rnacentral:sRNA from 1 species
GGUGCACACAGCUCCACUAAAGAGCUGGAAGAGGCCGCUGGAGUAGUCGUGAGACGGCUGAUCCAGGAAGGACUGCGGUAUAUUAAUAUGGAAAAGGCCUGUUUGUUUGUGCUUGGAGAGGAAGGAGCCAGAGGAGAGGGGAGCAAGGUGGGCGGGAGCUGGGGAGAGCCUGCAGCAAGAUCUGCAGAGCCCGAGGCACUCUCGGCCUGGGCCCUGGAGAGGACGUGGGGAGCCCCGGCCCACCCCGCCCGCGAACAGCCAGCGCCGGAGGAGCGCCGGGAGACUCUGCCGUCGGUGCGUGCGCGGACCCGCACCCGUCCCCCUUGACCCCGCCGCCCGCCAUGGCCGCCGCGGCGGCCGCCCCCCGCAGCCUCCUUGUUCUCCUCCAGGUGCUAGUGCUCGCUCUGGCGCAGAUCAGAGGUCCACCGGGAGAGCGGGGCCCCCCGGGGCCCCCGGGACCGCCGGGAGUGCCUGGAUCCGACGGCGUCGACGCGGCGCCGGCCCGCACCACAAGGACGCCGUUUGUUCUGCAAAAACCUCAAACCAGCCCUGACAUGCGGAGCCCGUUAUAGCCGCCGACGGACAAGGAGCUGCUGUUCAGUCCGCCGGCCGCAGCUCACAGCAAGGCCUCAUCCCCCUCCUCUCCUUUCCCCUCCUUGUGGAGUAGGAGGCGCCUCAACCCCUCACCCUGCCUCUGGCACAUCUGGGCGCUUCUUCAGGGUGACAAGGGGCCCCCUGGAAAAGCUGGCCCUCCGGGACCCAAGGGCGAGCCUGGCAAAGCUGGGCCAGAUGGGCCAGACGGGAAGCCCGGGAUUGAUGGUUUAACUGGAGCCAAGGGGGAGCCUGGCCCCAUGGGGAUCCCUGGAGUCAAGGGCCAGCCCGGGCUUCCUGGUCCUCCUGGCCUUCCGGGCCCUGGUUUUGCUGGACCUCCUGUAAGUCCUCAGGGAUGGGGCAGGAUCCCCAGAACUCCCAGGGAAGGAGGGACAACAGAAAGGCUUCGAGGGAAUGGCUACCAUGGGGAGGAGCCAGCUUGCUGUGAUAGUGUCAGGAAUAAGUGGACCUGCCAGAGACCCAGGGCCAGCCCACUCUGGGCCUGUCCACUGGCUCUGCAAUUCUCUGGUCCUUAAAGCCUCAGUCUGUCAGUCCCUCUGCAGUUG